GCAAUGGAGACUCAGUGACCCAGACAGCAGGCCUGGUUACUCUUAUAGAGGGGGCACCUGUGACCUUGAAUUGUACUUACCAGACCACUUAUUCAGGAUCUUUCCUUUACUGGUAUGUCCAGUAUCUUGAUAAAGCUCCUCAGCUGCUCCUGAAGAGUGCAACAGAAAACCAGAAGACAGAGAGCCAAGGUUUCCAUGCCACUCUUGUUAAGAAGGAGAACUCCUUCCACUUGCAGAAAACUGAAGUCCAAACAUCAGACUCAGCUGUGUACUACUGCGCUGUGGGAGACACAG
rnacentral:lncRNA from 1 species